rnacentral:ncRNA from 1 species
CAAAGGCAUGGUCCUGACCUUAUUAUCAGCUUUAACCCAACUUACACAUGCAAGUAUCCGCGCCCCCGUGAGUAUGCCCUCAAUCCCCCGCCCGGGGAUAAGGAGCGGGCAUCAGGCACAAAUUUUUAGCCCAAGACGCCCAGCCAGGCCACACCCCCAAGGGAAUUCAGCAGUGAUAAACAUUGAGCCAUAAGUGAAAACUCGACUCAGUCAGGGUUAACAGGGCCGGUAAAACUCGUGCCAGCCACCGCGGUUAAACGAGAGGCCCCAGUUAAUAAUAUUACGGCGUAAAGGGUGGUUAAGGAGAGCAAGAUAAAUAAAGCCGAAUGGCCCCUUGGCCGUCAUACGCUUCUAGGUGUCCGAAGCCCAAUUAAACGAAAGUAGCUUUAAUAAAAUCCACCUGACCCCACGAAAGCUGAGAAACAAACUGGGAUUAGAUACCCCACUAUGCUCAGCCAUAAACCCAGAUAUUUAAUUACAAUUAAACAUCCGCCAGGGUACUACGAGCAUCAGCUUAAAACCCAAAGGACCUGACGGUGCCUUAGACCCCCCUAGAGGAGCCUGUUCUAGAACCGAUAACCCCCGUUAAACCUCACCACUUCUAGCUAUCCCAGCCUAUAUACCGCCGUCGCCAGCUUACCCUGUGAAGGAUAUAAAAGUAAGCAAAAUGGACAUAACCCAGAACGUCAGGUCGAGGUGUAGCGCACGGAGUGGGAAGAAAUGGGCUACAUUUUCUGUUAUUCAGAACACUACGAAUAUGCAACAUGAAAUAGUGCUUGAAGUGAGGARUUGUAGUAGUAAAARRGAACAGAGUGUCCUUUUGAACCCGGCUCUAAGGCGCGUACACACCGCCCGUCACUCUCCCCUGUCAACACGCAAUAAAGAUCUAUAACGCCAAAGCACUGACAAGGGGAGGCAAGUCGUAACAUGGUAAGUGUACCGGAAGGUGCACUUGGAUUAAA